rnacentral:rRNA from 1 species
UGGGGAAUAUUGGACAAUGGGCGCAAGCCUGAUCCAGCAAUGCCGCGUGUGUGAAGAAGGCCUUCGGGUUGUAAAGCACUUUUAUCAGGAGCGAAACGCUGUCGGCUAAUACCCGGCGGAACUGACGGUACCUGAGGAAUAAGCACCGGCUAACUUCGUGCCAGCAGCCGCGGUAAUACGAAGGGUGCAAGCGUUAAUCGGAAUUACUGGGCGUAAAGCGUGCGUAGGCGGUUUCUUAAGUCUGCUGUGAAAUCCCCGGGCUCAACCUGGGAAUGGCAGUGGAUACUGGGAGGCUAGAGUGUGUCAGAGGGUGGUGGAAUUCCCGGUGUAGCGGUGAAAUGCGUAGAGAUCGGGAGGAACAUCAGUGGCGAAGGCGGCCACCUGGGACAACACUGACGCUGAGGCACGAAAGCGUGGGGAGCAAACAGGAUUAGAUACCCUGGUAGUCCACGCCCUAAAGCGAUGCGAACUGGAUGUUGGUCUCAACUCGGAGAUCAGUGUCGAAGCUAACGCGUUAAGUUCGCCGCCUGGGGGAGUACGGUCGCAAGACUGAAACUCAAAUGAAUUGACGGGGUCAUAGCUUUUUCCU